UUAAGUGACUAAGCGUACAAGGUGGAUGCCUUGGCAAUCAGAGGCGAUGAAGGACGUGCUAAUCUGCGAAAAGCUUGGAUGAGUCGAUAAGAGGCGUUUAAUCCAAGAUGUCCGAAUGGGGAAACCCAGUAGAUGAAGAAUCUACUAUCACUUACUGAAUCCAUAGGUAAGUGAGGCAAACCGGGAGAACUGAAACAUCUAAGUACCCCGAGGAAAAGAAAUCAACCGAGAUUUCGUUAGUAGCGGCGAGCGAACGCGAAGGAGCCUGUUAGUGAUAAUGACAGAGACAGAGGAACAAGCUGGGAAGCUUGGCGAUACAGGGUGAUAGCCCCGUACUCGAAGUCCAGGUCAUGGUACUAAGCUAACGACAAGUAGGGCGGGACACGUGAUAUCCUGUUUGAAGAUGGGGGGACCAUCCUCCAAGGCUAAAUACUCCUGAUUGACCGAUAGUGAACCAGUACUGUGAAGGAAAGGCGAAAAGAACCCCGGUGAGGGGAGUGAAAUAGAACCUGAAACCUUGUACGUACAAGCAGUGGGAGCCCUUUAAGGGUGACUGCGUACCUUUUGUAUAAUGGGUCAGCGACUUAUAUUUUGUAGCGAGGUUAACCGAAUAGGGGAGCCGAAGGGAAACCGAGUCUUAACUGGGCGUCUAGUUGCAAGGUAUAGACCCGAAACCCGGUGAUCUAGCCAUGGGCAGGUUGAAGGUUGGGUAACACUAACUGGAGGACCGAACCGACUAAUGUUGAAAAAUUAGCGGAUGACUUGUGGCUGGGGGUGAAAGGCCAAUCAAACCGGGAGAUAGCUGGUUCUCCCCGAAAUCUAUUUAGGUAGAGCCUUGAGCGGACACCUUCGGGGGUAGAGCACUGUUUCGGCUAGGGGUCCAUCCCGGAUUACCAACCCGAUGCAAACUACGAAUACCGAAGAGUGAUACUCAGGAGACACACGGCGGGUGCUAACGUCCGUCGUGGAGAGGGAAACAACCCAGACCGCCAGCUAAGGUCCCAAAGUCUAUAUUAAGUGGGAAACGAAGUGGGAAGGCUUAGACAGCUAGGAUGUUGGCUUAGAAGCAGCCAUCAUUUAAAGAAAGCGUAAUAGCUCACUAGUCGAGUCGGCCUGCGCGGAAGAUGUAACGGGGCUCAAAUAUAGCACCGAAGCUGCGGCAUCAGUAGCAAUACUGUUGGGUAGGGGAGCGUUCUGUAAGCGGAUGAAGGUGGCUCGAGAGGGCUGCUGGACGUAUCAGAAGUGCGAAUGCUGACAUAAGUAACGAUAAAACGGGUGAAAAACCCGUUCGCCGGAAGACCAAGGGUUCCUGUCCAACGUUAAUCGGGGCAGGGUGAGUCGGCCCCUAAGGCGAGGCUGAAAAGCGUAGUCGAUGGGAAACGGGUUAAUAUUCCCGUACUUGGAUAAACUGCGAUGUGGGGACGGAGCAGGUUAGGUUAUCGCACUGUUGGAUAUGUGCGUUUAAGUUGGUAGGUGAGAAGUUUAGGCAAAUCCGGACUUCUUUAACACCGAGAGAUGAUGACGAGGCUCUACGGAGCUGAAGUAACCGAUACCACACUUCCAGGAAAAGCCACUAAGCUUCAGGUUUAUCUAAACCGUACUGAAAACCGACACAGGUGGUCAGGUAGAGAAUACUCAGGCGCUUGAGAGAACUCGGGUGAAGGAACUAGGCAAAAUAGCACCGUAACUUCGGGAGAAGGUGCGCCGGCGUAGAUUGUAGUCCCUUGCGGGCGAAGGUUGAACCGGUCGAAGAUACCAGCUGGCUGCAACUGUUUAUUAAAAACACAGCACUCUGCAAACACGAAAGUGGACGUAUAGGGUGUGAUGCCUGCCCGGUGCUGGAAGGUUAAUUGAUGGUGUAAUCGAAAGAGAAGCUCCUGAUCGAAGCCCCAGUAAACGGCGGCCGUAACUAUAACGGUCCUAAGGUAGCGAAAUUCCUUGUCGGGU
rnacentral:rRNA from 1 species